CGCCCCGGGGCUGAAAUAGCUGGAGAUUGCGCGGUAGGGCACUCACCUCAGAGCGGCUGCGCUACCGUGGGCCUGCGCCGUGGAGACUGCGACCGCGCCGGCUCCUCGCAGCCUCCUGCCACCAGCGGCAAUGGCGAGCGCUGCCGCCUCUGCCGCCGCCGCCGCCGCCGAGGAGGGGGAGGGGAGGGAGAGGAGGCACGCACGCCGGGGCUGAAAUAGCUGGAGAUUGCGCGGUAGGGCACUCACCUCAGAGCGGCUGCGCUACCGUGGGCCUGCGCCGUGGAGACUGCGACCGCGCCGGCUCCUCGCAGCCUCCUGCCACCAGCGGCAAUGGCGAGCGCUGCCGCCUCUGCCGCCGCCGCCGCCGCCGAGGAGGGGGAGGGGAGGGAGAGGAGGCACGCACGCGACGCACGGGCUCAGCUUCCCCGCCCGGCGGCCGCCAUGAUGGGGAGGUCGGCGCUGCCUCGGCGGGGCGGGCCCGGAGGGGUUUCUGGGCGAGGGUCCCUGCCGGCCCGUGCGGUCUCCUGGAGGCCACAUUUAGUUCGAAAGCCCCGAGAAUUCUAGCACCUCCUGAAUGA
rnacentral:lncRNA from 1 species